GAGCGGCGGACGGGUGAGUAACGCGUGGGUGACCUGCCCCAUACCGGGGGAUAACAGCUGGAAACGACUGCUAAUACCGCAUAAGCCCACGGGUCGGCAUCGACCAGAGGGAAAAGGAGCAAUCCGCUUUGAGAUGGCCUCGCGUCCGAUUAGCUAGUUGGUGAGGUAACGGCCCACCAAGGCGACGAUCGGUAGCCGGACUGAGAGGUUGAACGGCCACAUUGGGACUGAGACACGGCCCAGACUCCUACGGGAGGCAGCAGUGGGGAAUAUUGCACAAUGGGGGAAACCCUGAUGCAGCGACGCCGCGUGGAGGAAAAAGGUCUUCGGAUUGUAAACUCCUGUUGUUGGGGAAGAUAAUGACGGUACCCAACAAGGAAGUGACGGCUAACUACGUGCCAGCAGCCGCGGUAAAACGUAGGUCACAAGCGUUGUCCGGAAUUACUGGGUGUAAAGGGAGCGCAGGCGGGAAGACAAGUUGGAAGUGAAAUCUAUGGGCUCAACCCAUAAACUGCUUUCAAAACUGUUUUUCUUGAGUAGUGCAGAGGUAGGCGGAAUUCCCGGUGUAGCGGUGGAAUGCGUAGAUAUCGGGAGGAACACCAGUGGCGAAGGCGGCCUACUGGGCACCAACUGACGCUGAGGCUCGAAAGUGUGGGUAGCAAACAGGAUUAGAUACCCUGGUAGUCCACACCGUAAACGAUGAUUACUAGGUGUUGGAGGAUUGACCCCUUCAGUGCCGCAGUUAACACAAUAAGUAAUCCACCUGGGGAGUACGACCGCAAGGUUGAAACUCAAAGGAAUUGACGGGGGCCCGCACAAGCAGUGGAGUAUGUGGUUUAAUUCGACGCAACGCGAAGAACCUUACCAAGUCUUGACAUCCCUUGACAGGCAUAGAAAUAUGUAUUCUCUUCGGAGCAAGGAGACAGGUGGUGCAUGGUUGUCGUCAGCUCGUGUCGUGAGAUGUUGGGUUAAGUCCCGCAACGAGCGCAACCCUUAUGGUCAGUUACUACGCAAGAGGACUCUGGCCAGACUGCCGUUGACAAAACGGAGGAAGGUGGGGAUGACGUCAAAUCAUCAUGCCCUUUAUGACUUGGGCUACACACGUACUACAAUGGCGUUAAACAAAGAGAAGCAAGACCGCGAGGUGGAGCAAAACUCAAAAAUAACGUCCCAGUUCGGACUGUAGUCUGCAACUCGACUACACGAAGUCGGAAUUGCUAGUAAUCGUGGAUCAGCAUGCCCCGGUGAAUCGUUCCCGGGCCUUG
rnacentral:rRNA from 1 species